AUGAACGCUAGCUACAGGCUUAACACAUGCAAGUCGAGGGGCAGCAUUUUAGUUUGCUUGCAAACUAAAGAUGGCGACCGGCGCACGGGUGAGUAACACGUAUCCAACCUGCCGAUAACUCGGGGAUAGCCUUUCGAAAGAAAGAUUAAUAUCCGAUAGUAUAUUAAAACCGCAUGGUUUUACUAUUAAAGAAUUUCGGUUAUCGAUGGGGAUGCGUUCCAUUAGUUUGUUGGCGGGGUAACGGCCCACCAAGACUACGAUGGAUAGGGGUUCUGAGAGGAAGGUCCCCCACAUUGGAACUGAGACACGGUCCAAACUCCUACGGGAGGCAGCAGUGAGGAAUAUUGGUCAAUGGACGAGAGUCUGAACCAGCCAAGUAGCGUGAAGGAUGACUGCCCUAUGGGUUGUAAACUUCUUUUAUAUGGGAAUAAAGUAUUCCACGUGUGGAAUUUUGUAUGUACCAUAUGAAUAAGGAUCGGCUAACUCCGUGCCAGCAGCCGCGGUAAUACGGAGGAUCCGAGCGUUAUCCGGAUUUAUUGGGUUUAAAGGGAGCGUAGGUGGAUUGUUAAGUCAGUUGUGAAAGUUUGCGGCUCAACCGUAAAAUUGCAGUUGAAACUGGCAGUCUUGAGUACAGUAGAGGUGGGCGGAAUUCGUGGUGUAGCGGUGAAAUGCUUAGAUAUCACGAAGAACUCCGAUUGCGAAGGCAGCUCACUAGACUGCAACUGACACUGAUGCUCGAAAGUGUGGGUAUCAAACAGGAUUAGAUACCCUGGUAGUCCACACAGUAAACGAUGAAUACUCGCUGUUUGCGAUAUACAGUAAGCGGCCAAGCGAAAGCAUUAAGUAUUCCACCUGGGGAGUACGCCGGCAACGGUGAAACUCAAAGGAAUUGACGGGGGCCCGCACAAGCGGUGGAGCAUGUGGUUUAAUUCGAAGCAACGCGAAGAACCUUACCAGGUCUUGACAUCAAUCUAAAAGGGAUGGAGACAUCCUCAUAGCUAUAGAGAAGACAGGUGGUGCAUGGUUGUCGUCAGCUCGUGUCGUGAGAUGUUGGGUUAAGUCCCGCAACGAGCGCAACCCUUAUCUUUAGUUACUAACAGGUCAUGCUGAGGACUCUAGAGAGACUGCCGUCGUAAGAUGUGAGGAAGGUGGGGAUGACGUCAAAUCAGCACGGCCCUUACGUCCGGGGCUACACACGUGUUACAAUGGGGGGUACAGAAGGCAGCUACCUGGCGACAGGAUGCUAAUCCCAAAAACCUCUCUCAGUUCGGAUCGAAGUCUGCAACCCGACUUCGUGAAGCUGGAUUCGCUAGUAAUCGCGCAUCAGCCAUGGCGCGGUGAAUACGUUCCCGGGCCUUGUACACACCGCCCGUCAAGCCAUGAAAGCCGGGGGUACCUGAAGUACGUAACCGCAAGGAGCGUCCUAGGGUAAAACUGGUAAUUGGGGCU
rnacentral:rRNA from 1 species